AAAUUGAAGAGUUUGAUCAUGGCUCAGAUUGAACGCUGGCGGCAGGCCUAACACAUGCAAGUCGAACGGUAACAGGAAGAAGCUUGCUUCUUUGCUGACGAGUGGCGGACGGGUGAGUAAUGUCUGGGAAACUGCCUGAUGGAGGGGGAUAACUACUGGAAACGGUAGCUAAUACCGCAUAACGUCGCAAGACCAAAGAGGGGGACCUUCGGGCCUCUUGCCAUCGGAUGUGCCCAGAUGGGAUUAGCUAGUAGGUGGGGUAACGGCUCACCUAGGCGACGAUCCCUAGCUGGUCUGAGAGGAUGACCAGCCGCACUGGAACUGAGACACGGUCCAGACUCCUACGGGAGGCAGCAGUGGGGAAUAUUGCACAAUGGGCGCAAGCCUGAUGCAGCCAUGCCGCGUGUAUGAAGAAGGCCUUCGGGUUGUAAAGUACUUUCAGCGGGGAGGAAGGGAGUAAAGUUAAUACCUUUGCUCAUUGACGUUACCCGCAGAAGAAGCACCGGCUAACUCCGUGCCAGCAGCCGCGGUAAUACGGAGGGUGCAAGCGUUAAUCGGAAUUACUGGGCGUAAAGCGCACGCAGGCGGUUUGUUAAGUCAGAUGUGAAAUCCCCGGGCUCAACCUGGGAACUGCAUCUGAUACUGGCAAGCUUGAGUCUCGUAGAGGGGGGUAGAAUUCCAGGUGUAGCGGUGAAAUGCGUAGAGAUCUGGAGGAAUACCGGUGGCGAAGGCGGCCCCCUGGACGAAGACUGACGCUCAGGUGCGAAAGCGUGGGGAGCAAACAGGAUUAGAUACCCUGGUAGUCCACGCCGUAAACGAUGUCGACUUGGAGGUUGUGCCCUUGAGGCGUGGCUUCCGGAGCUAACGCGUUAAGUCGACCGCCUGGGGAGUACGGCCGCAAGGUUAAAACUCAAAUGAAUUGACGGGGGCCCGCACAAGCGGUGGAGCAUGUGGUUUAAUUCGAUGCAACGCGAAGAACCUUACCUGGUCUUGACAUCCACGGAAGUUUUCAGAGAUGAGAAUGUGCCUUCGGGAACCGUGAGACAGGUGCUGCAUGGCUGUCGUCAGCUCGUGUUGUGAAAUGUUGGGUUAAGUCCCGCAACGAGCGCAACCCUUAUCCUUUGUUGCCAGCGGUCCGGCCGGGAACUCAAAGGAGACUGCCAGUGAUAAACUGGAGGAAGGUGGGGAUGACGUCAAGUCAUCAUGGCCCUUACGACCAGGGCUACACACGUGCUACAAUGGCGCAUACAAAGAGAAGCGACCUCGCGAGAGCAAGCGGACCUCAUAAAGUGCGUCGUAGUCCGGAUUGGAGUCUGCAACUCGACUCCAUGAAGUCGGAAUCGCUAGUAAUCGUGGAUCAGAAUGCCACGGUGAAUACGUUCCCGGGCCUUGUACACACCGCCCGUCACACCAUGGGAGUGGGUUGCAAAAGAAGUAGGUAGCUUAACCUUCGGGAGGGCGCUUACCACUUUGUGAUUCAUGACUGGGGUGAAGUCGUAACAAGGUAACCGUAGGGGAACCUGCGGUUGGAUCACCUCCUUA
rnacentral:rRNA from 1 species